rnacentral:rRNA from 1 species
CAUUGAAACACCAGUUCUCAUAUGAUCACCAAAGUUAAGCAUCAUUGAGCCUGGUCAGUAUCUAGAUGAGUAACCACUUGGGGAUACCAGGUGCUGUAAG